GGCAGGGUCCGAGGAGGAGGGAGUUAGCGGAGGGAGUGCUGGUGGGGUGGUGGUCAUGAAAAUCAGACGUUCCCAAGCGACACACCCGGACCAGACCGUAGAGAAGAUGCUGGACUUGGUGCGUGGGAAUCAUCAGCGACCCCGGCUAGGGCAGCUUCGGGCAGCGUAGGGAGGAAGCCAGAUUGCAACGGAUUAAGGAGUGAGGGGGUGGCGAGAUUUGCUGUCCUGAUUCAGCCGCCGCGGCGGCAGCCCGGGCUGGCUCUCCUCCCACAGGUGCGGGCUCCACAUGCGACGGGAACACGUGUGCCCACUCGUGCCACAGGCAUGCAGAUGUUUCACCAUUGAAUGAUUUCAUACGACUAUCUGGAUUUCUGGCUUCUCUUGAAAACUGAACAUCUGGUUUCACCUUCCCUCCUGGCUGGGAUUGUGGCUGCCAUCCCAUUUUAGAUGGGUCACCCUUUCUCCGGUUUUCAACAUUCCCCAUCACUGCGUAUAGCUGUACUGUUCAAUAAGGUCAUGGGUGAAAUUGAAAUUCCAGACCGCCCUUCUUCGUGGCAAACCUUUAGAAAUUAGAUUGUACUAGGUCAGUGCUUCUGAAACCUGAAUGUGAACCCCUGGGUGAGAUUAUGAUUCAGUUGGUCUAAGGUGGGACCCACAAAUCUGCAUUUUGACACGUGCCAAGAAGAGGCCAGUGCUGCUAGUCCGGGACCAUACUCUGAAAGUGUUGUUUCCAGAUUUCUGAUCUCAUCAAUGGAGGAGCUUCAAAUAAGUGCUGACUUCCUGUAACACUUCUCUUGAACACCUUGAAGCUUCUAUCAUUCUUCAGCUACCAUGAAUGGGUUGUCAAUUUUUCAUGAGGCCAAGAUGGUAAAUGCACACACAAACACACACAUGUGCGUGCACACACCCACACGCGCACACACACACACACACACACACAGAGUAUUUUUGAGACUAGAAGGUCAGUACAUAUGACCGGGAUACUCAUUUAAAGAGAUAGAGGGGCAGAAUAUUUUAAAUUGGAUCCUUUCCCUAAUAUAGCUGUUUUCACAUUUACACGGAAUUUCGUGUUCUGUUACUGCAGGAGGUCCUCCAGACUGUUUCAGCUUCAGGGUCCUCCCAAACCUCUUCCUCCAAGACAGGCUGUGAAUUUUCCUGGGUGUCCCCACCAAGUCCCCUGGACUACUGUGGAUUUCUGGAGUUUCCUGCCCAGCCCCACCUGUGGGUUGUGGGAGGAAGCUGAAAGGAGAAAAUGAGAGCUCCGAGGGUGUCAUUUGCCCAAGGCUUUGUGGAUAAGAAGUGGUGGAGGCCUGGCGCGGUGGCUCACGCCUGUAAUCCCAGC
rnacentral:lncRNA from 1 species